GUGGGGAAUUUUGGACAAUGGGCGAAAGCCUGAUCCAGCCAUGCCGCGUGCAGGAUGAAGGCCUUCGGGUUGUAAACUGCUUUUGUACGGAACGAAAAGACUCUGGUUAAUACCUGGGGUCCAUGACGGUACCGUAAGAAUAAGCACCGGCUAACUACGUACCAGCAGCCGCGGUAAUACGUAGGGUGCAAGCGUUAAUCGGAAUUACUGGGCGUAAAGCGUGCGCAGGCGGUUAUAUAAGACAGAUGUGAAAUCCCCGGGCUCAACCUGGGAACUGCAUUUGUGACUGUAUAGCUAGAGUACGGCAGAGGGGGAUGGAAUUCAGCGUGUAGCAGUGAAAUGCGUAGAUAUGCGGAGGAACACCGAUGGCGAAGGCAAUCCCCUGGGCCUGUACUGACGCUCAUGAACGAAAGAGUGGGGAGCAAACAGGAUUAGAAACCCUUGUAGUCC
rnacentral:rRNA from 1 species